GGGGACGUAGCUCAAUUGGGAGAGCACCGGCUUUGCAAGCCGGGGGUUGUCGGUUCGAUCCCGAUCGUCUCCACUA
rnacentral:tRNA from 1 species